AUGAAGGCGGUGGCAAACCAACCAGUGUCUAUAGCUGUGGACAGAGGCGACAUGACAUUCCAAUUCUACUCUGGCGGGGUGAUGACCGGCUCCUGCGGUACUGACUUGGACCAUGGAAUUGCAGCCAUUGGAUAUGGAAAGACUAGUGAUGGCACAAGUUAUUGGUUGAUGAAGAAUUCAUGGGGCACAACUUGGGGCGAGAAUGGGUACUUGAGAAUGGAGAAGGACAUUGCAGACAAGAAGGGCAUGUGUGGUCUUGCCAUGGAGCCUUCAUACCCCACCAAAUAG
rnacentral:rRNA from 1 species